rnacentral:rRNA from 1 species
AGUGAACGCUGGCGGUAGGCCUAACACAUGCAAGUCGAACGGCAGCACAGAGGAGCUUGCUCCUUGGGUGGCGAGUGGCGGACGGGUGAGGAAUACAUCGGAAUCUACUCUGUCGUGGGGGAUAACGUAGGGAAACUUACGCUAAUACCGCAUACGACCUACGGGUGAAAGCAGGGGAUCGUCGGCCCUUGCGCGAUUGAAUGAGCCGAUGUCGGAUUAGCUAGUUGGCGGGGUAAAGGCCCACCAAGGCGACGAUCCGUAGCUGGGCUGAGAGGAUGAUCAGCCACACUGGAACUGAGACACGGUCCAGACUCCUACGGGAGGCAGCAGUGGGGAAUAUUGGACAAUGGGCGCAAGCCUGGUCCAGCCAUACCGCGUGGGUGAAGAAGGCCUUCGGGUUGUAAAGCCCUUUUGUUGGGAAAGAAAUCCAUCUGGUUAAUACCCGGGUGGGAUGACGGUACCCAAAGAAUAAGCACCGGCUAACUUCGUGCCAGCCGCCGCAGUAA